rnacentral:rRNA from 1 species
AUUGAACGCUGGCGGCAUGCUUUACACAUGCAAGUCGAACGGCAGCGCGGGCUUCGGCCUGGCGGCGAGUGGCGAACGGGUGAGUAAUACAUCGGAACGUGCCCAGUAGUGGGGGAUAGCUCGGCGAAAGCCGGAUUAAUACCGCAUACGACCUGAGUGUGAAAGCGGGGGAUCUUCGGACCUCGCGCUAUUGGAGCGGCCGAUGGCAGAUUAGCUAGUUGGUGGGGUAAAGGCCUACCAAGGCGACGAUCGGUAGCUGGUCUGAGAGGACGACCAGCCACACUGGGACUGAGACACGGCCCAGACUCCUACGGGAGGCAGCAGUGGGGAAUUUUGGACAAUGGGCGAAAGCCUGAUCCAGCAAUGCCGCGUGUGUGAUGAAGGCCUUCGGGUUGUAAAGCACUUUUGGCGGGAACGAAAAGGACUGUGCCAAUACCACGGUUCGAUGACGGUACCCGCAGAAUAAGCACCGGCUAACUACGUG